AACGCGAAGAACCUUACCUGGGCUCGAACGGCUUCUCAACGGCGGUGGAAACACCGCUAUCCCGCAAGGGAGUGGAGUCGAGGUGCUGCAUGGCUGUCGUCAGCUCGUGUCGUGAGAUGUUGGGUUAAGUCCCGCAACGAGCGCAACCCUUGUCCUGUGUUGCUACCCGAAAGGGGCACUCGCAGGAGACCGCCAGCGAUAAGCUGGAGGAAGGUGGGGAUGACGUCAAGUCCUCAUGGCCUUUAUGUCCAGGGCUACACACGUGCUACAAUGGCCGGUACAAAGCGUUCCCAAACCGCGAGGUGGAGGCAAUCGCAAAAAACCGGUCUCAGUUCGGAUUGCAGGCUGCAACUCGCCUGCAUGAAGCUGGAAUCGCUAGUAAUGGCAGAUCAGCACGCUGCCGUGAAUACGUUCCCGGGCCUUGUACACACCGAGACGUA
rnacentral:rRNA from 1 species